rnacentral:rRNA from 1 species
CUAUAGAAGUUUGAUUCUGGCUCAGGAUGAACGCUGGCGGCGUGCCUAAUACAUGCAAGUCGAACGCUUUGUCUUUAAGUGAUAUGACGAGCUUGCUCUGAUGUGAUUUUAUCUGACAAAGAGUGGCGAACGGGUGAGUAACACGUGGGUAACCUACCUCUUAGCAGGGGAUAACAUUUGGAAACAAGUGCUAAUACCGUAUAAUACCAACAACCGCAUGGUUGUUGGUUGAAAGAUGGUUCUGCUAUCACUAAGAGAUGGACCCGCGGUGCAUUAGCUAGUUGGUAAGGUAACGGCUUACCAAGGCAAUGAUGCAUAGCCGAGUUGAGAGACUGAUCGGCCACAAUGGGACUGAGACACGGCCCAUACUCCUACGGGAGGCAGCAGUAGGGAAUCUUCCACAAUGGGCGCAAGCCUGAUGGAGCAACGCCGCGUGUGUGAUGAAGGGUUUCGGCUCGUAAAACACUGUUAUAAGAGAAGAACGGCACUGAGAGUAACUGUUCAGUGUGUGACGGUAUCUUACCAGAAAGGAACGGCUAAAUACGUGCCAGCAGCCGCGGUAAUACGUAUGUUCCAAGCGUUAUCCGGAUUUAUUGGGCGUAAAGCGAGCGCAGACGGUUAUUUAAGUCUGAAGUGAAAGCCCUCAGCUCAACUGAGGAAUGGCUUUGGAAACUGGAUGACUUGAGUGCAGUAGAGGAAAGUGGAACUCCAUGUGUAGCGGUGAAAUGCGUAGAUAUAUGGAAGAACACCAGUGGCGAAGGCGGCUUUCUGGACUGUAACUGACGUUGAGGCUCGAAAGUGUGGGUAGCAAACAGGAUUAGAUACCCUGGUAGUCCACACCGUAAACGAUGAGUGCUAGAUGUUCGAGGGUUUCCGCCCUUGAGUGUCGCAGCUAACGCAUAAGCACUCCGCC